UCUCAUAUUUUAGCUUUACUCAACCCUGGGUGUUUCUCUUUUCUUUCCUUUAAGAUCAUAGCAUUUUUUUCUUGUAGAGCUUCAAUAGUGUCAAAGGUAUCCAUUGGAGAUUGAUAAUGGUGAUGGAAAGUCCAAGAUGGAAGAAUAUGAAGUCGUAGAACAGAUUGGAAGAGGAGCUUUUGGAGCAGCUUUCCUUGUUCUCCAUAAACUUGAGAAAGUCAAGUAUGUGUUGAAGAAAAUUCGCCUGGCUAAACAGCACACCAAGAGAUGGAACUGAUUUCCAAAUUGAACAGCCCAUAUAUUGUGGAGUACAAAGAUGCUUGGGUUGAUAAGGGAAACUGUAUAAGCAUUGUAACUAACUACUGUGAAGGAGGGGACAUGGCUGAGCUUAUUAAGAAGGCCAGAGGUAUUCACUUUCCCGAGGAGAAAAUAUGCAAAUGGAUGACUUAGUUGCUGUUGUCCGUGGACUACCUGCACUCAGAUCGUGUUCUUCAUUGGGAUCUGAAGUGUUCCAACAUAUUCCUCAAUGAAGGAAAAUGACAUCCGGCUUGGUAUGAAGGCAAACGGAUUUCUAGAAAGGGACUGUGUUCUCUUUAUUAGGUUUGGAUGUCUUUUUUUGUCUUCUAAGAUAUGUAUGUCUUAUAUGGAAUUUACAGGUGACUUUGGACAAAAUUACUUAACACGGAAGACCUUGCUUCCUCGGUUUUUGGCACACCCAACUAUAUGUGUCCUGAGCUCCUCGUAGAUAUACCUUAUGGCUACAAAUCGGAUAUAUGGUCUCUUGAAAUGUACAAACAAAACGAAGUUCAAAAAGAAUAAUCAAUGAAUUAUUAGGUACUCUAUGGUUUCUGAUAUUUCUAGCUUACUGCAAAUAGAAAGCAAAGAAAGAAACAAGGGAGGCUCCAACUCAGGACCCGAGAACAGGCAAUAUGGUGGGUGCGACGCAGCUAUCUAGGCUCGGGGUAGGAGCUGAGGCAGGGGCAGAAACGGGCCGCCAGCGGCCACGAAUGCGCUCAUGGAGGUGGCGGUGACAAUGACGGCACAUGAGAUCUUCUUCAUGUCCAUGAUAUUGAAGAAUAAGCUUAUCGAGUGGUGAGACGAGAACAAAACCUAAGGAUUUUGUUUGUGAUUUUGUAUAUAUAUAUUUUUUAUUUUCCUGGCUGGUCUGAAGAACAAGAAUGAAGGUAAGGAGUAUUUUAAAGGUAGAAUUCAUGUCUAUUUUAAGCAAGAAAAAU